GGGCUGGGUCCUCCGAGCAGGUGUGAUCAGGGCCCCAGGAGACUGCGGCCUGUGACGGGACAGAUGGCUCCGCCCUGCAACCUUGCCACCCCAAGCUUGGCCCGAGCCCGGGGCGGGGCGAGCAGGACUGUCCCUUGGCAUCAAGUGACCGUGGCCAUGGACCUCGCAUCCUGCAUCCAGAACGGAGCAGACCACAGAUCCACGGGCCUCUGAGCAUCAUUGAGCGUACCGGUGACAGCUCAUCGUGUGGCCCAGUGUCCUGUGGGUGAUCCCGGCCCAGGAGCUGCACCCAGAGGGGCAGGGAGAAGCCCAGGGACCAGCCUGUGCCCAGCGUCCACCUCACUCGUCACUGAUGACACCUGCCCAGCGCCAUGUCCCUCUGCAGGCCUCAGUGUCCCCACCCCGGGACGAAGUCUGGCUCUCACCGUUGCUUGAGGUGGCUCACUCCUCAGUCCCAAAUGCGUCUGAGCACGCUUCGUGUGCUGGGCUCUGCAGCAGCAGCCAGGGUGUGGGAGGCCCAAUGCCCGAGAGGCCCCGCCCCGCCAGCCCGGCCCUGGGGCAUCAUCCUGGGCAGGUCCCACCCAGGACACCUAGCCCAGAGAGCCCUCCCCAGGGCUGUGGCCCCAUGAGGAGUCUGGCACCGUGAGGACAGGCUCUCGGAGUGACGCCAGGGACCAAGGCUGGCACGAGCAGGGCGAGGUCUGACGGCUAAGCCGGUGCCCGGAGGAGGAAUCUUAAACACAGAGCAAGGGGCAAAGGACAGUCGGAUGUCUCCAGCCCGGUGCUGGCUGGCACCUUUCCACCCGUCCCUGCUGCCCAGCCUCAGUUUCCUGGUGUGCACCCCAGGCCCAUCCUGAGGAAGGGGAUGGGCCACCUGAGCACCAUGGCCUGGUCCCCAGCACAUCAGCUUGGUGGGACAGAUGGGGGUGAGUUGGGGACGCCCAGGAUGCCCAGGGAAGUGGGCAGUCCCAAAAGGGUUGGGGUCAAAGGCCACCUGUAGGAAUUGGGGGCAGGCAUUGGAGGGUGUCAGCUGCUGCUGCCUCUGCCGUGUGAUCCAGGAGCCAGAUGCCCAUACGAACUUCUCUGGCUGAAGAUUCGGCCACAGGAUUCAGAGAGAGGCGUGAAUCACGGUUUGGCCACCUCAGUCCACAGAGAACCUGGCAAAAUUGCCGACGAUUUCUCAGCUCACUCUUUGCUGUAUGGGAUUCUGGUUUUCUCUUGGAAAAAGUUCAUAAUAAAGUUGGACAGACUUCGAGAAGGUUCCUGGCGGGGCCUCCCAGGGCCUGCCCUGCAGGGGUAAUGGCCCUGUCCUGCCCGGCUCCCAGGCUUGAGUCUGGGGGUUCUGAGCCUGACAAAGGGACCCCGACCACACCGGGGCCUGACCUCCAGCGCUGACCACACGAGUGUCGCACGCUCCUGUAACCUGCAGUGUCCCCCAGCCCCAUGGUCCCUGCAUUUCCAGCUGUCCGGGCAGCCUGGCGUCCCAGCCUGGCCCGCACCUCUUCCUCCGGGCCAUUCAGAUGUCAGCGGGUGAGAAGUGCUUUCCUCCUCAGGGCUGCGGG